NNACUAACAAGGAUUCCCCUAGUAACGGCGAGUGAAGCGGGAAAAGCUCAAAUUUAAAAUCUGGUAAUCUUUGGUUGCCCGAAUUGUAAUCUAGAGAAGCGUUUCCCGUGCUGGACUGUGUACAAGUUYCCUGGUACGGARCAUCAUAGAGGGUGAGAAUCCCGUCCUUGACACAGACUCCCAGCACUUUGGUGAUGCGCUCUCGACGAGUCGAGUUGUUUGGGAUUGCAGCUCAAAAUGGGAGGUAAAUYCCUUCUAAAGCUAAAUAUUGGCGAGAGACCGAUAGCGAACAAGUACCGUGAGGGAAAGAUGAAAAGCACUUUGGAAAGAGAGUUAAACAGUACGUGAAAUUGUUAAAAGGGAAACGCUUGAAGUCAGUCGCGUUUGCUUGGACUCAGCCUUACUUCGGUUUGGUGCAUUUCCUUGCAGACGGGCCAGCGUCCAUGUUGUUUGCCGGAAAAGGGGUGAGAGAAUGUGGCUCCUUCGGGAGUGUUAUAGCUUUUGCUCGUAUGCGGGGAAUGAUAUGGAGUGGUACAGCACACUUCGGUGGUGCUUGUGCUGGCAUAAUGGCUUUAAACGACCCGUCUUGAAACACGGACCAAGGAGUCUAAAAUGUCUGCGAGUGUUUGGGUGGAAAACCCGGGCGCGUAAUGAAAGUGAUAGCUGGGAACCCCUUUUGGGAGGCACCGGCGCCCCGAGCUGACCUUUUGUGACGCAUUGGAGGCAGAGCAUAUAUGUUGGGACCCGAAAGAUGGUGAACUAUGCCUGAAUAGGGCGAAGCCAGAGGAAACUCUGGUGGAGGCUCGUAGCGAUUCUGACGUGCAAAUCGAUCGUCAAAUUUGGGUAUAGGGGCGAAAGUCUAAUCGAACCAUCUAGUAGCUGGUNNNNNN
rnacentral:rRNA from 1 species